rnacentral:piRNA from 1 species
UUCCGAAUGUAAGGACUGCAUUUCCCCC